AAGGUAGAUAGGUUGGAGGUGGAAGUGCAGCAAUGCAUGGAGCUGACCAAUACUAAUGGUACGAGGGUUUGACCUAAAAUCUA
rnacentral:rRNA from 1 species